GCCUGUAUAGCUCAGCUGGUUAGUGUGUGGUGCUUAUACCGCCAAGGUUGCAAGUUCAAACCCACUAAGGGACA